UACGGAGGGUGCAAGCGUUAUCCGGAUUCACUGGGUUUAAAGGGUGCGUAGGUGGGCAAGUAAGUCAGUGGUGAAAUCUCCGGGCUUAACCCGGAAACUGCCAUUGAUACUAUUUGUCUUGAAUACUGUGGAGGUCAGCGGAAUAUGCCAUGUAGCGGUGAAAUGCUUAGAUAUGACAUAGAACACCAAUUGCGAAGGCAGCUGGCUACACAAAUAUUGACACUGAGGCACGAAAGCGUGGGGAUCAAACAGG
rnacentral:rRNA from 1 species